AUCCCCCGGUGCCCGGUGCCCUUCGAUACGUCCUCCACCUGGUGCCCAGCUCCUUGCACGGUGCAGGGUGCUUGCAUGGAGUUGUACUCAGACAGGUUGUCCUUGACGUCCAUCUCAACGAACCGCUCGCACUCGGCCCUCGGAACCAGUCUCCGCCGUUGUGCGGCGCCGCUGCUGCAAGCGUCUUCCUCAGCCGUGUUCACCGUCUUGACCACAAGGUCGCAGUUCCUCGGGAGGACGUCCUCCAUGGCCAAGUAGCCGGACAUGUAGGACACGUCGGCCUUGGCUUUCUCCGGGAGUAGGACGUGCAAUAUGGACGAAGGCUUCUUCUGGGGUGACGACGCUUCCGAGAAGGCGGAUGCGCCGCCGUGGAGGAGCCGAUAAGUUCUGAUGCCGCUGGGCACAUCGAUUCCCAUGGCUGACACUAAGCCAGGCCCGUUCUUCGGAGAGAUGCUCGGAUAUGCGCGCGCCACGGCCACCGGCGUGUUCGAAAGUGCGAGC
rnacentral:lncRNA from 1 species